rnacentral:rRNA from 1 species
CCAAAAACCUAGCCCCAUUCACCCGAAUACACCCACCUUUCUUCACUAAUAAAAUAAAACAUUUGACAAAUUUAGUAAAGGCGACAAAAAAAUUAUUAAGAGCUAUACUAAUAGUACCGCAAGGGAAAGCUGAAAUAGAAAUGAAACAAACACUUAAGCACAAAAAAGUAAAGACCCCCCCUUGUACCUUUUGCAUCAUGGUUUAACUAGUCUUACCCAAGCAAAAUGAAUUAUAGUUUGACCUCCCGAAACUAAGUGAGCUACUCCAAGGCAGCUUUAUGAGCCAACCCGUCUCUGUUGCAAAAGAGUGGGAAAGACCUUUGAGUAGGGGUGACAGACCAAACGAACUUAGUGAUAGCUGGUUACUCGAUAAAAGAAUUUAAGUUCUCCCUAAAGCUUAUUUAAGAGCAUAAACUAUCUCCACUUGCUUUAGAGAUAUUCAGACAAGGUUCAGCCUGUCUGAACCAGGAUACAACCUAAACUAAUGGGUUAAAGACUUUGGUAAAUUUUCAAGUAGGCCUAAAAGCAGCCACCUUUAAAAAAGCGUCAAAGCUUCUCUUUUGUAUUUUAGUUAAUUUCAACUACAACCUUAAUCCCUUUAUCAUAAUCGAGUAAUUCUAUAUAACUAUAGAAUAUAUAAUGUUAAAACUAGUAACAAGAAGACAACCCUUCUCCGCAAUGCAAGUGUAAGACAGAAAGGAUAAACCACUGUCAAUUAACGCAAAUGAUAUUCAAUUAGCAACACCUCAAGAAAACCCUACUUCACUCAGCGUUAACCUAACACAAGAGCAUUACAAGAAAGAUUAAAAGAAAAAGAAGGAAUUCGGCAAAUAACAACCCCGCCUGUUUACCAAAAACAUCGCCUCUUGCUAAAAUAUAAGAGGUCCAGCCUGCCCAGUGACCCAGUUCAACGGCCGCGGUAUCCUAACCGUGCGAAGGUAGCGUAAUCACUUGUUCUUUAAAUGGGGACUAGUAUGAAUGGCAUCACGAGGGUUGAACUGUCUCCUUUCUCUAAUCAGUGAAACUAAUCUCCCCGUGAAGAAGCGGGAAUUAUAUUAUAAGACGAGAAGACCCUAUGGAGCUUUAAACAAAUUGACAUCUGCUUCCACCUACUUCAAUUCCUGAAUAAAUACACAAAAUAUAGCAUCAUUGAUCAAUAGUUUUAGAUUGGGGUGAUCAUGGAGCAAAAAACAACCUCCACGACGAAAAAGGAAUGUACCCUGAGCCAAAAGCCACAACUUUAAGCACUAAAAAAUUAACGCAUCUUGACCCAAUUUUUUGAGCAACGAACCAAGUUACCCUAGGGAUAACAGGCGCAAUCCACUUCAAGAGCCCCUA